UACGUAGGGUGCGAGCGUUAAUCGGAAUUACUGGGCGCAAAGCGUGCGCAGGCGGGCUUUUAAGCCAGACGUGAAAUCCCCGGGCUUAACCUGGGAAUGGCGUUUGGGACUGGAAGUCUGGAGUGCGGCAGAGGAGACUGGAAUUCCUGGUGUAGCAGUGAAAUGCGUAGAUAUCAGGAGGAACACCGAUGGCGAAGGCAGGUCUCUGGGCUGACACUGACGCUCAUGCACGAAAGCGUGGGGAGCAAACAGG
rnacentral:rRNA from 1 species